CCCUUAGAUGUUCUGGGCCGCACGCGCGCUACACUGACGAUGGCAACGAGUUUUUCCUUCGCCGAAAGGUGUGGGUAAUCUUUUGAAACAUCGUCGUGCUGGGGAUAGAUCAUUGCAAUUUUUGAUCUUGAACGAGGAAUUCCUAUUAAGCGCGAGUCAUCAGCUCGCGUUGAUUACGUCCCUGCCCUUUGUACACACCGCCCGUCGCUACUACCGAUUGAAUGGUUUAGUGAGGACUCCUGAUUGGCGCCGCCGCCCCGGCAACGGAGCAGCGGACUGCCGAAAAGUUGUUCAAACUUGAUCAUUUAGAGGAAGUAAAAGUCGUAACA
rnacentral:rRNA from 1 species